UUUCCCACCAAUACAGAUUCAUGGCAUCAGUCUCAGCCAUUACUACAUCAACACUGUCCAAAAGACCCUCACCAGAAACCACUCACCCAUUGGUAGCCAAAGGAAUCAGCAUGCCUCAGAGAGCAUUACCCAUGCUCCUCCCUCCCUGUCCCCCUAGAACGGACUUGACUCUACUU
rnacentral:lncRNA from 1 species